rnacentral:rRNA from 1 species
AGCGAACGCUGGCGGCAGGCUUAACACAUGCAAGUCGAGCGGGCAUCUUCGGAUGUCAGCGGCAGACGGGUGAGUAACACGUGGGAACGUACCCUUCGGUUCGGAACAACUCUGGGAAACUGGAGCUAAUACCGGAUACGCCCUUAUGGGGAAAGGUUUACUGCCGAAGGAUCGGCCCGCGUCUGAUUAGCUAGUUGGUGGGGUAACGGCCUACCAAGGCGACGAUCAGUAGCUGGUCUGAGAGGAUGAUCAGCCACACUGGGGCUGAGACACGGCCCAGACUCCUACGGGAGGCAGCAGUGGGGAGUCUUGGACAAUGGGCGCAAGCCUGAUCCAGCCAUGCCGCGUGAGUGAUGAAGGCCUUAGGGUUGUAAAGCUCUUUUGUCCGGGACGAUAAUGACGUUACCGAAAGAAUAAGCCCCGGCUAACUUCGUG